rnacentral:rRNA from 1 species
UACGUAGGGGGCGAGCGUUGUCCGAAGUUACUGGGCGUAAAGCGCGCGUAGGCGGGUUGGCAAGUCUGCUGUGAAAGCCCGGGGCUUAACUCCGGAGGGUCGGUGGAUACUGCCAGUCUUGAAGGUGCUAGGGAGAGAUGGAAUUCCCGGUGUAGCGGUGAAAUGCGUAGAUAUCGGUAGGAACACCAGUGGCGAAGGCGGUCUCUUGGGGCAUUCUUGACGCUGAGGCGCGAAAGCUGGGGGAGCGAACGGG